AUGGGGCCGGCACCCUGCACCAAUGGCCUCCUCAUCGUCCUCCUCCUCGUGCUCGCCGUGGCCGACUUCGGGUCGGGGCAGCAGAACCCGCCUCCGCCAGGGGCGUACUACACGGCGAAGUUCAGCCCAUCCAGGGCCACCGUCAUCAUCGUCCUAAUCGUCAUCCUCGUCGCCUUCUUGUUCUUGUUCUUCCUCUGCCUCUUCUUGGUCUGCAUCCACAACUGCCAUGGCGACACCUCCUACUCGGCCACUAGACUCCCGAUAGGCGCCCCCGCGGCGCGCCCGCGACGACAGCAGCGCGGGCUCGACCCGGCCGUCCUUGAGACCUUCCCGACCAUGGCGUACGCCGACGUGAAGGAGCACAAGGCCGUCAAGGGCGCGCUGGAGUGCGCCGUGUGCCUCAGCGAGUUCGACGACGACGAGACGCUCCGCCUCCUGCCCAAGUGCUCCCACGUCUUCCACCCGGACUGCAUCGACACCUGGCUUGCCUCCCACAUCACAUGCCCGGUCUGCCGCGCGAACCUCGUCCCCGACGACACCGACUUUCCGGGCACCGGCGGUGAGCUGUCGAGUGUCCAUCCCGCUUCGCGGCCGCCGCAAGAGGUGCCACCGUCAGCUUCUGCAACGGAGGCAGCUCCCACCGUCGUCAUCGACGCGGAGGAGAGUGAGGACGAGAGGAUCAUCCGGGAAGAUACGGACGAACUGGCGCGCAUCGGCAGCCUGAAACGCGCGCUGCGCUCCAAGUCCAGCCGAGCGCCCACGCACUUCUCGCGUUCGCACUCGACGGGGCACUCGCUCGCUGCGCGAGCCAGCAGCUGCACCGGCACGGGCGCCGGCGUCGAGAGGUUCACGCUGCGGCUACCCGAGCCGGAGCACGCGGGCAGACUACGGCGCAUGAAGAGCCUCGCCGUGUUCACUGCCGGCCGCCAGGGCAGCACGUACCGUUCCCUCCGACUAUGCGGCGACGGCAGCAGCCGCAGCGGGACGAGAGUCCGGCUCGGCCAGUCAGGCCGGUGGCCAUCUUUCUUGUCGCGGACUUUCUCCGCGGCGUGGGGGGCGAGGUCCACCCAGAGUGCCGAGUUGGACGGGUCGAGCAAGGGCGGGAAGCCGGCGGCAAGUCAGUGGAGUGCAAAGACCACUAGACCAGGCGUGCGCUGCUGA
rnacentral:rRNA from 1 species